CUCUCUGUUUUACCUGCUUGAGGUGGCCCUGGCUGGCACUCUUGAAUCUGCACAUUGCUUUCCCCGUGUGGAACCAAGGUGCUGGCUUUUAAAGGGGCAGGGCACACCACAUGCUCAAAGACAGAAUUCUCGUAUGUUUCUUCACUCUGCCAGUAUGUAGAGUUAGUAUUAUUCAAAAAUAUUAUAAAGUAUAAUCCACUGUCAAAAGAGCUCUCUGUAUUUCUGAGGGAGAUAGAGAGAGAGAGAGAGAGAGAGAGAGAGAGAGAGAGAGAGAGAGAGAAGAGACGAGAGAGAAGCUGAAAUAACCAUUGCAAUUUGGAUCAAGGACUCAAAGAAAAAAGUUUGUCUUGAAUCUCAGAGGAAAAUUCGGACUUUAAUUUUUCAGCAAUAUCAGAACAGCUAAAUAUUCCCUUCAUAUCUCAAGUUUUGUUUCAUUGGGUGCAGAAUUCUCAGCUGAGAUUAAGACAAAAGAGGACAGAACAAAGCUGAUUGGAACUGAACAAUGUACACCCCAUGGAUUGAUCCGCAGGGUGGAUCAAGUGGCGCCCAGCGUGGGGGCUCCUGGCAUGAAGGAGUCAACGAGGGAGCCAUUGGAGAAAGCCAGCUGAAAGUGAAAGCAAAUUGAACCAAAGACUGCGGCGAGAAGUAAAAACAAACUAAAUCAAGGACUAAGGCCAAAAGCAAAUGCACACCUGACGUGACACCCGAGUCACGGUUAGUUAACUGAGACCCCAUUCCCUUUCCUGGACAUGGGUCAAGCAUUGAGUGAACACAAAUUGUUCGUGGGAGGCCUUAUAAAGGCAUUAAAGACAGGAGGGGUAAGGGUUAGAACAAAAGAAUUAUUGCAGUAUUUUCAAUUUAUUCAUAAGGUUUGCCCUUGAUUCCCCCUAGAGGGUUCUAUAGAUACCAAGAGGUGGAAAAGAGUAAGGGAUGCUUUAAAAGAUUAUUACAGGGUUUUCAGUCUGGAAAAGGUUCUGGUGACCACCUUUGCAUACUGGAAUUUAAUCUCUCAGCUGCUUGCCCAGAGGCAUGCAGAUCCUCAGAUUGAGGAGACGGUCGCACAAGGCCCUCUGAGCUACACAGCCUUAUAGUGCUCCUAAGAUGGUGCCUGCCUCCAGCAGGCCUUGUUGCGCUCUUAAAAUGGCACUUGCCUCACUUCCGCCACAUCAGCAUGGGUCCCUCCCCAAUAUUGCGUUUCCAGUGACAGAAAAAAAUGUACCUCCCCAAGAUGGCGCUGCACAGCUGCAAGAUGGUGCAGGCGCCACACCGCUAGCUCCACAAGUCAUUAGGACUCAUACGCCAUUCACAGUGGCAGCUUUAAAACAGCAGUCGCCCAAUAUAGCCCUACAGCUGCUUUCAUUCUUGCUGUUUUAAAUUCAUUGGCUCACACCUACAGAUUGACAAAGAUUGGCCCGAGUGACUUUAUCGGGUGGGGAUAAUCUUUUGUAAAAAUCAGAAUAUACAAAAAAUUGCAAAGAGAUCACCAGGCACAAUACACAAGCUGGCAAUGGGUGGGACCUUAAUAUGUUAAUAGUGGAGGAUGCCUAUGCCAACAGAGAGGCCAAAAGCAAUUUAAGGGCAAUAUGAGUUCCUCAGGAACAUUAAGCAGGGGCUAGAGAUUUAGCUCAGUGACUAAGCAAAGCACAGUUGUGAGUUCAGUCUCCAGGGCUGGAGAUUUAACUCAGUGGCACAGUUGCCUGCCCGACAAAAGGCUGUGAGUUCAAUCCCUGGUACCAUUGACAUUGAAACUGCUUGUCAUCAAGGCCUUGCUAUGGCUGCUGGCUUGCAAGGGUUUACAGUUAGACAGUUCUUAUCUCAAAAGCAUAAACAAAUCUGUUUUACCUGUAGAGAGACUGGUCAUUUUACAAAAAGACUCCAGAGAUAGAGAUUCCAAUGUCAAUUACUUUGACCCAUUUAACUGAUUGGAGUGAUAUUGGUCUAGUCUCUUAAGUUUAAUUUCAGCAUAUGUAAGGAUGGGGACAGCGCUGAAAGGAGAAUGAGAGACACUAUGGUAGUUAUUGUUGUCUUCCCCAAUCUCAGAUCUUGAAAACCUGAGGAGCCUUCAUCAUCCUGUAAUAUUUGAUUACUUCUAUAAUAUGCAGUGUGUAUUUAAUGUGCGUAAAGAUGGGCACAACUAUUUGGAGGAAAGUAGAGACAAUUAGAUGAACAAUGAAGAUCUCCAGUGGACUUGCUUUGAAAUCUGUAUUUCUUUAAAUCUUUUUGUUAAAAUGGUUUUGUUCUGUUUUGAUAUGUUUGAUCUUGCCCUCUUGGAGAUGGAAGGCAAGUGUGUGGGACUAAUAAACAUGUUAUUGGGUUUUUGUUGGA